AUUGAACGCUGGCGGCAGGCCUAACACAUGCAAGUCGAGCGGCAGCGGGAAAGUAGCUUGCUACUUUUGCCGGCGAGCGGCGGACGGGUGAGUAAUGCCUGGGAAAUUGCCCAGUCGAGGGGGAUAACAGUUGGAAACGACUGCUAAUACCGCAUACGCCCUACGGGGGAAAGCAGGGGACCUUCGGGCCUUGCGCGAUUGGAUAUGCCAGGGGGGAUUAGCUAGUUGGUGAGGUAAUGGCUCAACAAGGCGACGGUCCCUAGCUGGUCUGUGAGGAUGCUCAGCCACACUGGAACUGAGACACGGUCCAGAGUCCUACGGGAGGCAGCAGUGGGGAAUAUUGCACAAGGGGGGAAACCAUGAUGCAGCCAUGCCGCGUGUGUGAAGAAGGCCUUCGGGUUGUAAAGCACUUUCAGCGAGGAGGAAAGGUUGAUGCCUAAUACGUAUCAACUGUGACGUUACUCGCAGAAGAAGCACCGGCUAACUCCGUGCCAGCCGCCGCCGUAACAC
rnacentral:rRNA from 1 species